rnacentral:rRNA from 1 species
GAUGAACGCUGGCGGCGUGCCUAAUACAUGCAAGUCGAGCGAACAGACGAGGAGCUUGCUCCUCUGACGUUAGCGGCGGACGGGUGAGUAACACGUGGAUAACCUACCUAUAAGACUGGGAUAACUUCGGGAAACCGGAGCUAAUACCGGAUAAUAUAUUGAACCGCAUGGUUCAAUAGUGAAAGACGGUUUUGCUGUCACUUAUAGAUGGAUCCGCGCCGCAUUAGCUAGUUGGUAAGGUAACGGCUUACCAAGGCAACGAUGCGUAGCCGACCUGAGAGGGUGAUCGGCCACACUGGAACGGAGACACGGUCCAGACUCCUGCGGGAGGCAGCAGUAGGGAAUCUUCCGCAAUGGGCGAAAGCCUGACGGAGCAACGCCGCGUGAGUGAUGAAGGUCUUCGGAUCGUAAAACUCUGUUAUUAGGGAAGAACAAAUGUGUAAGUAACUAUGCACGUCUUGACGGUACCUAAUCAGAAAGCCACGGCUAACUACGUG